GCUGCUUGCGUAGGUCUGGUGAUUACGCUGGUCUGAAAAGCCAGAGAACGCAGUUCGAUUCUGCGAGGCAGCACCA
rnacentral:tRNA from 1 species